GUUCUCACUCUGUCACCCAGUGGCCCAGGCUGGAAGGCAAUGAUGCAAUGAUGUGAUCACAACUCACUGAAGCCUUGAACUCCUGAACUCAAGAGAUCCUCCCUUCAGCCUCCCGAGUAGCCAGGACUACAGUUGCAGUUGGAUUAGAGUCAAAAAUUCCAGAGCAGCAGGCCCAAGGAAGAAUAACAGUAUGCAGAAAUGAGGCAUUUGGCUGCUUAAGAAAUCAAGAGAGGGGCACACAAACAGAUCUGCUUCAGAAAGCUACAGCAGAGGCAUCUGUCAUUAUUACUGUGAAGACAUUCAUGCUUGGAGGUGAAGCAAUUGUCUCAUGAA